GGUGUCUUACCCGCGUUCGGCACCAACUCUUACGCGCGUUCACGACCGGCCAGGAAGAACGCAGCAAACCGGAAUCUUCUGCAGCAAAGCUUUAUUGCUUACAUCUUCAGGAGCCAGAGAGCAAGAGAGCAAGAGUGCAAGAGAGAGAAAAAGAACAAGAACAAGAAAGCAAGAGAGCAAGAAUGAGAAAACAAGAGAAAGAAUGGCAAAACCCCGUCCCUUUUAAGGAGAAUUAUCCUCCGCCUAGGACGUAUUACUCCCUGAUUGGCUGCAGCCCAUCGGCUCAGUUGUCAUCACGAGAAAGGCAGAACACAUGGCGGGAAAACUGCCCCUGCACGUGUGCAGAUUAUGUUUACCACUUAGAACACAGCUGUCAGUGCCAUCUUAUAAUGGCAAAUGUGAGGGCGGCUUCCCACAGGGGUGUAUAUAUCAUCUUCUGAAAGACAAACUUACAUGAUGUUAGAAGGUAAAAUAUAAACUCUGAAGAAAGAGUCUGCUGUGAAGCGUCACUGGGGGGUAGCAUUCCAGGUGCCUCCUGCCACUCUCACGUGUUCAGAGGUUGAGGAUUUUGAGAAAUGCAGUGGUUUCUGUGAAGAAUGGCAUUGAGGUCUGAUGAAGAUUCCUAUAAAUCUGAAGAUGGCUUUGGUAGGAGGUCCAGUUUCAAAGCAUUGAUUCUUCAAAUCCAUGCGCACAGGGGACAUGUCCACCUUCCAGCAUCCUGAAGUACAACAUCAUAUGUACCACUGUGUCAGAAACCAUCUAGGAAAGACUAAGGCAAGCAAAUGAGUUUUCUGGAAAUGGCCCACCAUUUUGCAUGGUCUGCAAUGGAUGAGCUCUGAGAGGCAAGGUCCCAAGAGACUUCAUCCCAAGAUGACUUUUUGCUGAUGAUAUGCCUUUCUAGUCACUGUUACGUAGACUAAUGAUAUCUGGGCAUUAACUCACCCUAUUGGGCAGAUUUUCUGCAGAGCAAAUAUGAAGAUGUACUUUCAUAUAGCAAUGCUGUGCAAAUCAAUUGAUGAUUUCAUAAUUCUCAAUAAUGAUUUUAUAGAAUUCCUAAAUUUAUACAAGUAAUUUCAAGCCUCCUAUAGAAUAAAGCUGCAAAUGUCAUGGACAUUGUCAACCUUCAGAUGUCAUGGACCAAUUGCUCUAGGGUAAGAAAGCAGGCUUGGAACAAAUUUGUGACCAAGGGAAAACAUUCAUUCUAGGUCAGGUUCAAGGGUGAAGCCACGGGUGUGCACUAUGAUAAAGCUGGGCCAUGGGAAACUGUUGCUUUGCGCUUGUAAUGAGCUUCGAGAAUGAAACACUGCUGUGAAUUCACUGUCAACAUCCUUCUGGAACUCCCCUCUUGUGGAACAUCUUAUCUAUGAGGUAAUUUUAUAAAGAACGUUUGUCUAAAAAGGUAUAAGAAGGGCAGAGAGAAGAAAUAAAGUGUGGCAUUUGGGGGCUUAGCCUCACCCACCAAAUGU
rnacentral:lncRNA from 1 species